GGGCGCGUAGCUCAGCGGGAGAGCACACCCUUCACACGGGUGGGGUCGCAGGUUCAAUCCCUGCCGCGCCCA
rfam:Nitratireductor pacificus pht-3B contig18, whole genome shotgun sequence.